UGAACGCUGGCGGUCGGCCUAACACAUGCAAGUCGAACGGCAGCACAGUAAGAGCUUGCUCUUACGGGUGGCGAGUGGCGGACGGGUGAGGAAUACAUCGGAAUCUACUUUUUCGUGGGGGAUAACGUAGGGAAACUUACGCUAAUACCGCAUACGACCUACGGGUGAAAGCAGGGGAUCUUCGGACCUUGCGCGAUUGAAUGAGCCGAUGUCGGAUUAGCUAGUUGGCGGGGUAAAGGCCCACCAAGGCGACGAUCCGUAGCUGGUCUGAGAGGAUGAUCAGCCACACUGGAACUGAGACACGGUCCAGACUCCUACGGGAGGCAGCAGUGGGGAAUAUUGGACAAUGGGCGCAAGCCUGAUCCAGCCAUACCGCGUGGGUGAAGAAGGCCUUCGGGUUGUAAAGCCCUUUUGUUGGGAAAGAAAAGCAGCAGGUUAAUACCCCGCUGUUCUGACGGUACCCAAAGAAUAAGCACCGGCUAACUUCGUG
rnacentral:rRNA from 1 species